GUGUAGAGCUACUGUAUCAUUAAAAAUAUAAGAGAGUUGGUGCUUUCGACAUUUAAUUUUUAGAUCAAAAAUUAUAUAGUUAGGAUGAUAGCGGUCCUUCUUAGGAUUGAGUGGUUCUUAUUGGAUAAUAAUAUUAAUCUGAUGGUUAAAAAUGAUCAAAGAGAUUUAUUUAAGAGCCAAAAAGUCGAAAGCAGCAAAUUCUCUAUACCCAAUAAGUUAAGGGCAAAAAGAGUCAUUUUGAUUUUUUUUUUAACUCUAUUAGAUACUUAACUCAUAUUUAACUCAAGUUAACUUAUCGGGUGAUAAUUAUAGGAGUAUUUUGGAAUAACGAAAGACAAUAUAAAUGGUAUAUUGAAAAGAAAAAAAUAUAUAUUUUUGAAGUUUUGAAAGCUAUAUAAGCAAUUAUCCCUCUAUAUAUAUAUAUAUAAAAACCAUGUCCUUCUCCAUCGCUUAUUUAAUUCACCUCCAUGUUAGUGAAACUUACAGCAAAAUUUAGUUUCAAAUCUAUUAAAAAAAAAAAAACUUUAAAUACUAACUCUGUGGUUUCAAACUUUUUUAGUUUAGUAUUUUAUGGUUUACAGUGUAUCAAUUUAGUAUCAUGUGAUUUUAUUUUAUUUUUUUAUUAUCCCCUCUACUAAUUUUUUUCGUUAAAUCAGUGACAAAAUUAAAACUAAAAAUUACUAAAGUGAAUAUUUGAUAAAUCUAGGUGAGAUAUAUAAAAUUUUUUGUAUAUUAUUUAACGAAAUGUUAACAGAGGAGCUGACUAAAAGAGAAAAAUAAAAUUACAUGGUACUAAAUUGAUACAUUUUAAAUCACAGAAUACUAAAGUAAGAAAGUACAAAAUCACAGGAGGGAGCAUUUGAAGUUUAUCCUUAAAAAUAAAAAUAAACUGAAUAAUUAAAAUUGAUUAUACGAUUGAUUUAAUGCAAUAAAAUAACUAAGGCAUGCACGAGCUAACACGCAAGAAAAAUUAUGAUAUUUUAGAUAAAUUAAGAAUGGCAUUGAAAAUUAAAAUAAAAUGUAUAUACAGAAUGAUGUGAUUGUGAUUUUUGGAUAUUGUAUCACCGCAAAUUAGGUUUGGUGAAGGACCAUAGAGACCUUAAUAAUGACACCACAAUUAUUUGAUGGAUUAAACUAAGUUAAUAUAUAAUAAUUAUUUUUUCUACAUCAACUGCCAUAGCGUCUUUAUCGCGGUUUCCUUACAACAGAGACAUCAAUCUAUAUAUAUAUAUAGGCUGGGACUACUAUACUUAUAUGAGUAUAGAGCCCUUGUACUCAUAAGUUUUCGACCGUUCAGAUGAAAAAACGUGCGGUUAGGAUGACAGUGGUUACGGUUAGGUUGAUAGUGGACCUCCUAGGGUUGAGUGGAUGGUUGGUUGAAUAGUAUAAUCUAACGGGUGAAAAUGAUUAAAGGGUAGAUCUAACGGCCAAAAACUUAUGAGUACAAUAGGCUCUAUACUUAUAAAAGUAUAGUAGCCGGACUAUAUAUAUAUAUAUAUAUAUAUAUACACACACAUAUAUGAAUUAACUUCAUACAGGUUCACGUAAAUAUAGUAAAUGAUAAAUAUAUUUUUACAAAAUUUAAAAUUUAUAUGUUGUUCCUACAAAAAUUCUGAUAUUUUCAAAUAUAUCCCUACCGUUAAAAUUCAUUAGAAAAAUUUGUUAACCAUAGAUUAAAUACUUAAUCUUUGUUAGUUUUUGACAUUUUUGAUCCUCUUAUAUUAUACCAGUAUGAUUUUUAGAGAGACAUAUUUGUGACGGUAAAAUUAAAAAUAUAGACAGUUCUCUAACGAUAACAAAUUAAAGGAAUAUAUUUGAAAAUAUUAGAAUUUUUAUAGAAACGACAUAUGAAGCUUGAAUUUUAUAGAAAUAUAUUUGUCAUUUAUUAUAUUUGCAAGGAUCUGUAUGAAAUUAACCCAUAUAUUUAUAUGGAUUGUAUAGUGGUUGUUAUUAGAAUUACCGAGAUCAAAGGUUCGAAUAAUUUCCAAAUUGUUUUAGUCUUAAAACUUAAUUACGUAAUAGAGUGCGGUGAGAACUAAAAGAUCAAAAAGCGAUGGAAAGUGAG
rnacentral:lncRNA from 1 species